rnacentral:misc_RNA from 1 species
GAUGAAGAACGCAGCGAAAUGCGAUAAGUAAUGCGAAUUGCAGAAUUUCCGUGAGUCAUCGAAUCUUUGAACGCACAUUGCGCCCAUUGGUAUUCCGAUGGGCAUGCCUGUUCGAGCGUCAUUAUCCCCCCUCAAGCCUUCGGUUUGGUGUUGGACCCAUGUUGUGUAAUGAACAACUGGUCUCAAAGACAAUGACGGCGUCCGUGGGACCCUCGGUGCAACGAGCUUUUAGGAGCACGCAUCGAGUUGCAAGGACCUUCCGGGCCGGUCUCCUUUACUAUUUUACAAGGUUGACCUCGGAUCAGGUAGGAAUACCCGCUGAACUUAAGCAUAUCAAUAAGCGAGGA